UCCUUUUUCUUUCUUUUCAACGUCAUUUUUUCUUCCUUGUUCAUUUCUGCAACCGUGGCUUCACCUUCAAAGGAAAAACCAUACAUCAAGUCCUACCAUAUUUCUUUCAUGCUCCUUUGUUUUCUCUUUCCUCCUCAUGAGUUGUCUUCCCUUCUUCCUCCCCCAUAACCGAACUUAAAAAGAGCUUGGUGGUUUGGCUUAGAAAUUUCAAGAUAAGUAAUCAGUUCUAGUGCAUUGUUUAGUACCUCGAGACUGGCUACAACCUAGGAAGUUAUGUAGGUGAAGAAGAUUUGUCGCGAUAGUGUGCCGGAUGAGGAAAUGGGUGACCGACAAGUAGAAUUUGCUAGAUACGUAUCCGAGUCAAUAGUGAUGAAGUAUCUCGUUAUUGUAUGUGAUCGACUUAGCGUGCAAUCAUAUGUGCUUAUGGUCCACUGCGGAUAGGUAAAGGCAUCUUAUAGCACUUUAUUCCGAGUCACUCCGUUGCUAGAGGUCGAGUCAUUCAUAGCUUGAAGUAUGUAGUUAGAUACUACAGACUUUGAUGUAAUCUUACAAUUAUGGUGAAUAAAGGAUAAGUUGGUUUAUUAUGAUUUAUGUACAAUUCUUAUUAAAAAGAGGUAUAUGGUUCAAGAAAUUUCAUGGAUUGAUGACAUAAUGUCUAAAGUUUCAAAUACGACUUGUUUAGGAUUUGGCAGGUUCACUCGCAAGUCUUGGACGCUAGUAACAAUCGAGGUUAAGCGAGGACUAAAGGAUCAAUUUUUUGAAGAUCAACCAAAGAAAAGGCAACCUUGGUACUUGGGUAGUGGUUACUCGAGACACAAGAUCGGUAAUGAAAACUUAUUUGCUAAGCUUGAUAGGAAGAAUUGUGGUAGUGUUUCCUUUGGUGAUGACUUCAAGGAUAUUAUCUAAGGAAUCGAAACCACAGAUA